ACUGCUUGGGAAGUAAGCAGUCGUGUUUGUGAUACGUGCUCCUGUGACAAGUGCAAACAGCAGUGUGUUAAACAAAACUUGAAACUGGGCACCGGUUUCUUCCAACAUUAUGUACAUGCCGAAUGGAGACUGAUUAUGCAAGAAGGUAACACGAAGACCACACUGCGUCUUCAAACUACAUGUUGUUCGCUGUCUGCUUAGCGUAAGCCUCAACCAGCUGACGAACUGGUUGUAGAAGCAGAUGGCUUACCACCUUAUGGUCACCACCACAUCUGGUGUGUCAUCGACAGGGUGGCUGGCCCCUGUGUACACGUCACGCAAGCUGUUCUGCUGUGUCUGAUCCUGCUGUGGGUUCUGGGUCUUCAGCCUCAAAGAACCCCAAUAGAUCCAGCAGCCAGCAGGAGAUGUCAGAGGCAGGAGUGGCUGGUGCUUGCAGCAGCUCAUCAGAGUCCUGCACAACCACCGUGGCCUCUGCGUUAGUCACUUUCACCAACUCCCCACAUAGCCAGGUCUGCCCGCACUGCCAAAAUGUAUUGGUGGGGGAGGAUGCACUGGUGGUACACAUCAAAGAGGAACAUCCAGCCAGCAUGGUGAUGACCAGCUCCACCUCAUCGACAGCAGUGCUGGUCUGCAGCAACAAGUCGGAGGGGCUGAAGAGACGCAUCUCAGUGGCUCGUGGUGGGCUGCUGGAUGGGACACUCAGUAACCAGCUGAAGAGCAAGAUUAGCUCGGGGCUCAACCAGCCGAUACAGAGCCUGCUGCAGAAGCAGAUGGCGCACAGCCCUGUGUCCAUCUCCACAUCCACAUCAGGGUCAUCGUUGGCAGGCAGGCUGGGCCCCGUGUCCACCUUGGAGCCAGCGAAGAAGAUGCGACGUUUGAUUCCAAAGCAGAGCCCCACGAUCAGCAUGUAUUACUUGUACCCCUACAUCUGCUUCUACUGCGGUUUUUGGUUCAAACAACAGAGCACUCGUAACAGGCACAUAGUGCAUGCACACUGGAAUGAGGUCAACUCCUCCAAAUCGAAGCAAAGCUCAAAGCAGGCAGGGCCAGACGAUGCAUCCAGCAGUGAAGAUUCUGACCACAGCUCUGGCAUCAACAUCAGCACACUGCAGGAAGUUUUAGCUUACAGCAAAGUGGAGCGCAGCUGUCCUGAGCCCCAGCCACAAGUGCUGUCUCCCAUACAGGUCACAGGCCACAAUGGCUGCAGCAAGGAAGCUGCUGCAUCCGGUUGUGCCACCAUCACAUGUCCACCCAACAGGGAGAUGGUAAAGCAGAAACCAGCGGUGACACCAAGUGUGCAGAGGAGUCGGAGUGGGCGCUGUGGGGUGUCACAGGCCAAAUGUGUGACGCGAUUCCCAUUGCCACCAGCAUCCAGUGCGAAGGGUGCUGCCAAGCUGGUAAAGGAGUCUGCCGUCAGCCUGCCACUUGUGGAAACUGACCCACUCAUGUCUCCGAAGCAGGAGAAUGAGUUUGUGUGUGUUGAGGAAGAAAUCCCGGUUCUGCACAAGUGUGACUUGCCCAAUUGCCUCAGUAAUGCACAGGAUCCCCUAAGAAUUGAUGAAGAGAUUGAGGCAGUUGCUGAUGAUCCACUUCACAUCUGUAAUCCACAGAGCAUUAAGAAAGAGGUUCUCGAAGGUCCAGUAGUAGUCUCAGUGUUCAGUGGCUGCGUCAAAGAGGAUCCACAACUAGAUUUAGGAGUUAAUAUAACUGACACUAAAUUUUUAGAAGCACGACGGAACAAUUCGGUUUCAGGAUCUUCUGUUGCUCUUUGGCUGUCGACCCGCGACGUAUAGUGGCCAACAAUUUUCUCUCUGGCCCCGGCAGUGAAGAUGCUGUCUCCGUUCGUUGCGCCACUCUCUCUGAAGCAGCAACAAGAGGAAAUGCUUCAGAUAUUACACGGUAAAAGAUUCAUUAUUUUACUGAUGCAUUUGCUUUACAUGGUAAGGUUGGGUCUUCAUGCUUUCUUCCACAUCUAUCCAUAAUGUCCUGUAGAAAUUAUCACUGCUUGUGGUGGCACAGUGGGGAAGAUGCAAGAAUGGUUCUUGUGAAAAAAACAUGGACAGUUUCCUCCCCAUUUGUCCUCAUUCCUAUCUUGUAUUUCUGCUGUAGUGACACUGUUGUUGACAUGGCAUUGAAUUGUAAUUGUGCCCCUUUAGAUAUUCACUUCACAUGUAACAUUACUUUGUGCAUGAAAAAUACAUAUUG